CUCUUCUCCACUUUCUCUUUUUAAGCUCUCAUAUUCCCUCUCUCCAUUUUUUUUACACCAAACUUCAGAGAUCUAACAAGUAAUUUUUUUUUAUUCUUUUGUUUCUUCCAAUAAUCUUUUGGGGAGGAAUCAAGCUCUCGAGGUCAUGAUUCUUUUUGGGCUUGCGUACUUAGAUUGAUAAUGUGCUAGCCUUCGGCUCUUUUCCUUCGUUUCCACUUUUUAAACCUAGACUCUAGUCUGAUAAACUCGUUGAUUUUACGAGCCAGAGGGAAUAUUGUUAAUCUAGUUUGGGAUGUUUCUGAGACAAGUGAUUUUGCAGGAGCAGAGAAUAAGAUCGAAACAAAUUGAAUUUGCAGGAGCAGAGAACAAGAUCUGAACAGAUUUUCUCUUUAUAUUUCCUGAAAAUUAUCAUGUGUUCUGAUUAUAUGACUUUUUUUGAAGCAUUCAUCUUAUGAUGCAUCAUGUAUUUAUUUUAUUUUUUGAUGAAUGAUAUACCAAGUAUACAUAUUAAAUUUAUUAUAAAAUAAAUCAACAAAUUGAGAAUUUUGUCCUCGGCA